rnacentral:rRNA from 1 species
UACGUAGGGUGCGAGCGUUGUCCGGAAUUAUUGGGCGUAAAGAGCUCGUAGGCGGUGUGUCGCGUCGGCCGUGAAAACCUGGGGCUCAACUCUGGCGUGCGGUCGAUACGGGCAUCACUUGAGUUCGGCAGGGGAGACUGGAAUUCCUGGUGAUGAGCGGUGAAAUGCGCAGAUAUCAGGAGGAACACCGGUGGCGAAAGGCGGGUCU